rnacentral:lncRNA from 1 species
CUACAACACUCAUGAGUGCUCAUAAGUUCUGAGUAUUGGAUUCAACCCGCGCUCAUUGGAAUCACUUCAUGGAUUUUAUCACGAGUGAUCAUGAGACGAUAAUAUCUUAUAUUCUUCAAACCUAGAGAUAUGAGUUGUUACUAUGAGUUGGUUGUACAUUGAUUGCACGAAAACGCAUUUGGUAACUCGGUGCUAUAAAACGUGCCUUUGUGUAUGAUUCAACAAGUAGUAGAACAAGCCAUAUGAGUCGAAGUUUAUCCAUUCCUUUUACCUUCGGGAUAAAAGCGAUAUCUGUGGGCCCCUCGAUGAUUUGAUGAUGACAAAUGGAAGUGCUCGGCCGGGCCAGGACUGAUUUGAUUUGUUCAAUUAGUCAGUCGUCAUAAAUCGGAAAUCGGGAAACAACAAAUGGACAGAGAGAAUGAUUAUAAUCCAUGUCUCAGUCCAUAUGAUAUCUAGAAUGGAGGAAUAUAUGAUCCCUUAUCUAAUGGACAAGUUCGUUGACAAGAUCAGAGUUCGACAGCAGCUUUAAGAGCUACGAUUGCCAGUUGGGUUUGAAGUCAUACUCAAUAAUAGUUUUAGACUUAUCCAAGUGGGAGACUGUUGGAUUAAUGUCUAAGUCCAUAACUAUAUUUGGUAUGUACUUGACCCGACCCAGCAUGGUCCAUUUGGGUUGCACUUCACCAGCACAAUUUAUAUGGAUAGUAUUUUAUGAAUAGUAUAUUUAUGAUUUAUAUUAAUAUAUUAUAAGUGCUAAUAUAUUAAUAUAAUCAUAAUAUUUAAUUAGUAUUGAUCAAGAAUUAAUUUAUAAUUAAUUAAGUGAUCAAAAUGAACUAAUUAAAUAUGAACUCUUAGAUAUAUAUGUGUAGUGGGCCAAGUUCAUUUAGGUUGGGCUAAGUCUUCAUGGAUAGUCCAUGGAGCUUUAACCCAUGGAUCCUAGGAAAUGAAAGGUCAUGGGUAUUAGGGUUUAACCCUAAUCCUCCACACUAUAUAAAGAUGUCCUUGGUUGUUGAAAUGGGUACUAGUGUGGGUACACUAAGAGGGCGAGCCAAUUUCACUAGAGAGAACCAAGUAUCCAUAUUCUCUAAAGUCUUCCAAGGUGUUUUGGUGAUUUGUGAUUCCAUUUCAGGCUUCCACACUAUUGGGGCUAAGCUCUUAAAGCUUGAAGACAUCAAGCUACAUCAAAAGGUAUGUCAUCUAACUAGAACUUUGUAGUAUAAGAACUUCAUAAUAUGCUAGUUAGGAUUAAAGCCUUGGAAAGUUCUUAUUUGCAUGUAUAAUUGAGAAAACAUAGAUCCAAGGUUUAUAGGGUUGCAUGUAUAGGAGUGUUAGAAUGCUCAAAACCCAACACCAGUAUCAGCAGCUCGAGUGUGUGAGCUCUUUGUAUGCAUAUUUAGGUGAGUCUUCUAAGUAUACUAUGGAUGUUGCUAGAUUGUGUUUGUGACUCUUGCAUGAAAGAUAGUGUUUGGAUCGGAACACUUAUAUGAAGGACUAUGGUUGGAUUACAACACCUAUGUGGAAGACUAUCAAAGACUGUGGUUGGAUCCUAGCACUUGUAUGAAAGAAUCUAGUUGGAUCACAACACUUGUUUAUCUUUGUGACGUGCAAGGAUAACCAUUUUUGGAUAAUGACAAAAAGGUUAUGGUUGGGCUGUAAUCUGGAAGUGAUUGUAAGACUAUGGUUGGAUCAUAGAAUUCAUGAAGAGUUGGAACACACCCCUAGGGUUGGGCCCACUGAUAUGUAUGGUAUGUGGUAUUUUGGGAAACUCACUAAGCUUUGUGCUUAUGGUUUUGUGGUUUCAACAUUUUCGAGUACUUCCGGUUCCAAAGGGUAGGCUCUAACUUGACUGCACAGAAACCCCCAAUGAAUUUUCCUUAUUUUUACUACUAUUCCACUAUGAAUUUUCAUAUACACUUUAUCAUCAUUGAUUUUGGAACAAAUACUAUAUGAAUUUGAUGUUUUGGAAAAUGAAAUAUUUUAUUGGUAAUUUUGGGAUCUUACAAUUUGCUAUCAUAGCCUUGGCUUGAGUGAUUCGAGCAUACUCUUGGGUGUGUCUGAACUCAAAUUGAGAAAUUGGUAAUAUUUUUGAAAAAAAAUCAGUUUUCCUAGAAUGAUUUUUGCAAAGAAAGGGGUGAGAUGCGUGCAAUCAGGCGAGCUUAAGUAAGUGUUUCCCAAAAUACUCAUACAUGAGUAUUAUGUGUUUUGCAUGCUAGGAUUGGGCCCGUACUACUAGAAGCAUAGUAUCCGUACUCGAACCAAGGAGAAUCGCAAAGAUUCUAGAGACCUUAUAAUGUGAAAGUUCCCUCGAGUAUAGUCUGAUUGUUUAUUCUUAUAAUAUAUUAAUAAACCAUAAUAUCCUCUUUCUCUAUUAUUCAUCCAGUCAAGUUACUUUGGUGAAGGCAACCCAAAAGGACCAUGCUACAACUGGGUCAAAUACAUACCAAAUAUAGUUAUGGACUUAGACACUAAUCCAACAGUCUCCAACUUGUAUAAGUCUAAUAACUAUAAAUGCAAGUACGAAUUCAGGAUCCGAUUAGCAAUCGUAGCUCUCGAAAGCCGUUGUCGAACUCUGAUCUUAUCAGUAAACUGUCAUUUAGAUAAGGGAUCGUAUAGCCCUCUGUUCUAGAUAUCGUGCAUACAAUUACAUGGAACAUAGUCAUACUCUAUGUCCAGCAGUUCGUUUCUCAAUCUUUGAUUUAUUUGACAUAGAACUUAAUUGAACACAUCAAUUCAGUCCUGACCAGGCCUGGCACAUAACUCAAACCAAAUCAUCGAGGGGCCCAAAUAUCGCUUUUACCCUAUUAGGAUAAAAGGAACACAUAAACUUCGACUUAUAUGCAUUUACUAUUUACUCAUCAAGUCAUGCACAACAAUGCGUUUUAUAACAUCAAGUUACUGAUGCGUUUACGAAUUAUUAAUGCACAACCAAGUUGAAAACAAUAAACCAUAUAUCUAGGUUUAAAGACUUUAUGAUAUCAUCAUCUUUCGAUCACUCAUGAUAAAUUCCAUGAAGUGAUGCCAGCAAGCAUGGGUUUGAUCCACUGCUCAAAUCUUAUUUCAUAAGCACUCAUGAACGUUGCAGCAAACCUUUGAUAUGUCUAAUACACUUUAGACAGUCUCCAAACCAAUUCAUGACAGUCUUCUUUCAUACCUACUUCCAAAGUAUAAGCGAUUGUGGAUUGUUCGAAUAAUCAUAUUAUUCAGGAAGUCAAAACAUGCAAAGUGAAACAAUAGGUAAAUAAUUAACACAAGACGGUAACUUUACUGAUAAAUAAUACUCCUUUAUUUAAUCAUCAAAUGUUAAUUACAAUUUAUCUAUUACACGUUUCGAAGCUAUCCAAUCUAAGCUAAUAUCGUCCUUCAGCCCAAUGCUACUAGUGUGCUGCAAGUGCUUAACCCUACUCAGUCCCUUCGUAAGGGGAUCUACUAGGUUAUCCUCUGACGAUACCCUCUUUACUACGAGGAGCCCUUCUUCCACCCAAAGUCUAAUAAAGUGAUAUUUCCUAUCGAUAUGUCGGGAUCUGCUAUGAUCCCUCAGUUCCUUGGUCAAGGAAACUGCACCUUCGUCAUCACAGAAAAUUUCCAUAGGCUCCUUUACGGCUGGAACAACUCCAAGGUCUCCGAUGAAGUUCUUCAACCAUAUUGCCUCCUUUGACGCUUUGCUCACUGUUAUGUACUCUGAUUCACAUGUUGAAUCAGCUACGAUCUCCUGCUUGGAACUUUUCCAAGUCACUACUCCUCCAUUUAGGGUAAAGACCCAGCCUGACUGAGAUCGAUAAUUAUCUUGGUCUGUCUGAAAAUUGGCGUCACUAUACCCUCCCACCCUUAAGUCAUCACUCCCACCGAGGACUAGAAACCAUUCCUUGGUCCUCCGAAGGUACUUAAGAAUGUUCUUAACUGCUGUCAAAUGCACUCUACCAGGGUUCCCUUGAUAUCUGCUGACCAUGCUCAAAGCGAAGGCCACAUCAUGGCGAGUACAAGUAAUAGCAUACAUUAUUGAGCCAACUGCAUAAGCGUAAGGUACUCGACUCAUUUUUUCUAUCUCGGCCUCAGUACUCGGACUUUGAGUCUUACUUAACUGGGUAUUGCUUUGGAUCGAUAACUCCUCUUUCUUGGAAUUUUCCAUACCAAAACGCUUUAGUACCUUAUCCAAGUAAGUAUUUUGACUAAUUCCGAUUAGUCUUUUACUUCUGUUUCUCACUAUCCUUAUUACCAGAAUAUAGGCAACCUCUCUGAGGUCCUUCAUAGCGAAGCACUUCCUAAGCCAAGACUUAACCUCCUAUAGGGUCGGGAUGUCAUUUCCUAUGAGUAGUAUGUCAUUGACAUAUAAUACAAGGAAGCUAACAAUACCCCCACUGGUAGAAUACUGCCCCUGUGGCGAAAUUCAAAAGUUAGAGCAGGAACUCUGGGGUCUGACGAUGAAUGACUCCGAUAUUGUUGCAUAUACUACUAGGUUCAGUGAUCUGGCUAUUCUGUGUCGAGGGAUCGUUCCCACUGAGAGAAAGAAAGUAGAGAGAUUUAUCUGGGGACUCUCUCCUCAGAUACAAGGGAAUGUAAUAGAUGCAAAGCCUCUCAUUUUUUAUAGUGCCAAGAAUUUGGCACAAACAUUAGUUAACCAUGGAGUUCGUCAGGGCUUCAUGGUACCCAUACCGGAGCAGCCCAAGGAAGGGGGCAGCAAGAAGAAAUUAUGGAAUAAGUGAAAGGGGGAAUCGUCUCAAGAGCCCUCAAAAAAGCAACAAACAGUGGCAGUAAACACUGCUAUUGUUCCUACUGCUGUUACAACCCCUGUUCUUACCACUGUGUCUACUACUCUAGCAACCCCAAGUAGAUAUGCUGGAACAUUGCCAAAGUGCAAUAAGUGAAACUUCCAUCAUACGGGAGAUUGCAAAGAAAUGAACUGCAAGAAUUUUAAUAGAAAAUGGCACAUUAUCCAUUUCUUUAAAGCACCGGCAUAGCCCAUUUCUCAAGUUCCUGCCGCGGGAGUUAGCCAAGCUUGCUAUAAAUGUGGGGAAGUAGGAAAUUUCAAGAGAAACUGUCCUAAGUCAAAGAAUGUUGGUGAUACAUGAAGAGUCUUGGCGAUUGGCUAUGAAGAAGCAGUAGCAGAUCCUAAUGUGGUGACUGGUACGUUUCUUCUCAACAAUUCUUAUGCAUGCAUUCUUUUCGAUACGGGUGCGAAGAAAAGUUUUGUAAGCCAUAAAUUCAAAUAUCUACUAAAACAAAAUCCCAAAGCACUAAAACAUACAUUCACCAUUGAGAUGGAUAAUGGAAAAACCGAGAAUACCAAUGGCAUAUACAUAGCAUGCACACUUACUCUAAAUAACCAUUCAUUCCAAAUUGACGUUAUGCCGGUCUCAAUUAAAAUUUUUGACAUCAUUAUCGGCAUGGAUUGGUUAAGUCUUCACCGUGUUCAUAUCGUAUGUUACGAGAAAGUCAUCUGUCUUCAUCUUCCAAGUAACGAAUCUCUCGUUAUCUAUGGCGACAAAUCUGGUGCAAAUCUCCAAAUCAUUUCUUGCGUCAAGGCUUAGAAGUAUCUUCGCAAAGAUUACUGCGCCUUCUUAGCUCGCGUUGUUGAUAAUACACAAGAAGUGAAAAGUAUCAAGGAUAUCCCUGAAGUCUGUGAUUUCCAUGAUGUGUUCCCUGAAGAGAUCUCAGGAGUUCCUCAUGAACAUCAAGUCGAAUUCUGAAUUGACUUGAUUCCUUGAGCUACCCCUGUAGCUAAAUCCUCAUAUCGUCUUGCACCUUCAGAAAUGCAGGAACUAUCCAGCCAGUUGAACGAACUUCUCAGUAAAGGCUUCAUUAGACCAAGCUUCUCACCUUGGGGAGCACCGAUCUUGUUCGUGAAAAAGAAUGAUGGAUCAUUUCGCAUGUCCAUAGACUACCGGGAAUUAAACAAACUUACCAUUAAAAACCGAUACCGUUUACCACAGAUAGAUGACCUAUUCGAUCAACUCCAAGGAGCUAGUUUCUUCUCCAAGAUUGACCUGAGAUCCAGAUACCAUCAGCUACAAUUCCAGGAGGCCGACAUUCCCAAGACUGCUUUCAGUACUCGCUAUAGUCACUACGAAUUCGUAGUGAUACCCUUUGGUCUAACAAAUGCACCUACAGUAUUCAUGGACAUGAUGAAUCGAGUGUGUUAACCUUACUUAGACAAGUUCGUUAUAGUCUUCAUUGACGAUAUACGAGUCUAUUCUCAGAGUAAGGAAGAACACAACCGACACUUGUGACAAGUCUUGGAAACCUUAAGGGCAGAGAAAUUAUACGCGAAGUUCUCAAAAUGUGAAUUCUGGAUUCAAAAGGUGGAGUUCGUAGGUCAUGUAGUCAGCAAGGAUGGGAUACAUGUUGACCCCUCCAAGAUCAAGGCUAUCGAAAGUUAGAUGACCCCAUGAACCCCCUCAUAAAUUCGCCAGUUUCUAGGUCUCGCUGGCUACUAUAGGAGUAUCAUUCAGAAUUUUUCAAAGAUUGCAAAUCCACUCACCACCUUGACCCAAAAAGGUGUGAGAUUCGAAUGGGAGGAUAAACAAGAAGCUGCUUUCCAGACACUAAAGCAAGCCCUUUGCAGCGUACCCAUCCUGUCCCUCCCAGAAGAGACGAAAGAUUUUGUAGUUUACUGCGAUGCGUCCAAGCAAGGGCUAGGCUGCAUUCUUAUGCAACGAGGAAAGGUUAUAUUCUAUGCCUUGAGACAACUUAAGAACCAUGAAGUGAAUUAUACUACACACGAUAUCGAACUAGGAGCAGUGGUUUUUGCCUUGAAGAUCUGGAGGCAUUACCUAUACGGUACAAAAUGCACAGUCUUUACUGAUUAUAAAAGCCUUCAGCACAUCUUUGAUCAGAAAGAAAUCAACAUGAGACAACGACAAUGGGUAGAUCUACUAAAUGAUUACAAAUGUGAGAUUUGUUAUCACCCCGACAAGGCCAAUGUGGUAGCAGAUGCCCUUAGUCGGAAAGAAUACUCGGGUUGCCGAGUAAAGUCUCUGACCGUGACUAUCCAUUCCCACUUAUCUACACAGAUCAAGGAUUCUCAGCUGGAAGCCUUGAAACCUGAGAACAUGACAAGUGAAGAUUUAAAGGGAAUGGAAAAGAACUUGGAAAUCAAGGGUGACGGAGUUCGUUAUUUCAUGAAUCGAAUAUGGAAACUAAAGUUCGGUGGCUACAGAGAUGUUGUCAUGAAUGAAGCUCAUAAAACUCGACACUCUGUCCACUCGAGUUCCGACAAGAUGUAUCUAGACCUAAGGAAACUCUAUUGGUGGCCAAACAUGAAAGCCGAGAUAGCUACUUUUGUGGGCAAGUGUCUAACUUGCUCCAAAUCAAAGUAGAAUAACAAAAGCUCUCAGGUUUACUUUAACAACCAGAAAUACUUGAGUGGAAGUAAGAGCGGAUCACAAUGGAUUUCAUAACCAAGUUACCCAGGACAACGAGUGGUUAUGAAACCAUUUGGGUUAUUGUCGAUAGAUUAACCAAAUCCACACACUUCCUACUGAUAAAAAAACAGAUAAAAUGGAGAAGUUAACAAGGACAUAUAUUAAAGAGAUAGUAUGAUUCAAUGGUAUUCCAAUAUCUAUUAUCCCUGACCGAGAUAAUGGAUUUACCUCAUGGUUUUGGAAAUCAUUGCAAAAGUCCUUGGGAACAAAUCUUGACAUGAGUACAGCGUACCAUCCUCAGACUGAUAUGCAAAGCGAGAGAACAAUUCAAAUGUUGGAAGACAUGUUAAGGGCUUGUGUGAUAGAUAUCGGUAAAGCUUAGGAUACCCAUUUACCACUUGUUGAAUUCUCCUACAACAAAAACUAUCAUACUAGCAUCAAAGUUGCACCCUUUGAAGCUCUCUGUGGCCGUAAGUGCAGAUCCCUUCUGUGUUGGGCUGAAGUGGGUGAUACGGAACUAGCCAAGAACCAAGUACCUAAUAGUACUCUAACCGGUCCCGAGAUCACUCGUGAAACCUGUCACAACUAGGAAUUUUGGUGUCUUGUAACUACCACACCUAUAACAACUAUGAAUCAAUAACAUGAAAGCAUCCAUGAUGCUUAUUCUAUAACAACAAAACUUCAGCAAAUACUUCAUUCUAGCACUACAAAUGGUCAACAAAGAAUUGGAAACCUUUGAAAUCCCGGUUUAAGUCCAUUUCGGACUAGGAUUUCCUUAUUGGGCCUAAUGGACUAAUAAGCUUCCAAUUUAUUCAUCUUGAACCUAGAACUCUCUAAUGGGCCCUAAUUGGACCCAUAUACAUUAAACAUAAUAUUUUGGGCCUUAAUGGGUCACAACCAAUUUAAUUUAGCCCUAAUAGGUCAUAAAAAUUAUACUUUGAUUUAUUUGGGCCAAACAUCAUCUAACUUAACUAUAAUAUGGGCUUAAGGGCAAAAAGCCCAAAUCUUUUCUCUUCCCCUCUCCAUUCUUGGCCCAAACCCACAAGAGAAAGAGGAGUUGACUUUCUCAUUGCCACCUCACUAAUAAUUGGUGGGUUUCCAUGCAAAUCCCAUGCUUCCAAGCAAACAUCUCAUCAACUUUCUCUUUUCCUCCCUCCCUUCUUCUCUCGGCCGAACACAACACACACACACUCAUAAAAUUCAUCUCCAUUCUCUCAAACUCUCACUAGAACAUCCUUACACUCUCCCUCAAAAAUUUCGAGAAUCACAAGGGCUACAAGGAAAUCUCUUCUUAAUAUCACAAAUCUAAGGUAAGUUGAUGUUUAAUCCAUGAUCUAACUACUUCGUUUCAUCAAAAAUCUCUUCUAAAUCCAUGCAAUCUUGUGUUCUUCCAUCUUAGAAGCCUCUAAAUUCGAGAUCAUCCAAGAAAGCGUACUAGGAUCGAAAUUUUCUUCACUCCUCUCUUCAAAACCGAAACCACAACUCAAGGUGAGCUUCAUACCCCUCACUUUUCAGUUUUCUUGUGUUUUAUGGGGGAGAAUACAAGAAAAUGUGUAGAUCUAUGUGUAUAUGUAUGCUAUGUGUGAUUUUAUGCAUGUAUGUGUAUAUUUAUGUGUUUUUGUGAUAAUUAUGUAACUAAAAAGGGGUAAAUCUCGAGAUCUAUUAUAUGAGGAGAGAAAAAAAUAUAAUCUAAGUUAUUAUACGCUAAUCAAGUCAUGAAUAAUAAAUUAUAAGGUUAUGAUAACAUAUUUCAACAUAAAAACCCACUUUUGGGCUUAAAAUGUCAAGUAUACAAAACUAGGGUUAAAAAUGGCCAAGUCACGGUUUCUUAAGGGCCAAAAGAGUCAAAAUAGUUUUCAUAAUUGUUUUUCUAAAUAAUAAAUUUUCAAAGGACUUAAAAUGUAAUUUUUUAGCUUAAUGGGCUAAUUUUGGGCUUUUUGGCCCAAUAAGCCUCGAAUUGCAAAAAAUGACAAAUUUAAGGGGCUGAAAUGAAACUUUCUGUAAAACAGGGGAUAAUUAGCAUAACAAAAUUAUUUUAAGGGUCAAAAAUGCUUUUCACUAUCAAAAAGGACCAAAAAUGUAAAGUUUUUAGAUUUUGGGCCAAAACUGUAAAAGUUGUGAAAAUGGGGUUCUAACCGAGAAACACCACUCUGGGAGGGCUGAAGCUGUUAUAAAAAUUAAUUUUGGGUUAAAACUGUCUUUUCAACAAGUUUAUGAUAGAAAAUGUUUUAAGGACUAAAAAUGAAAUUCUUUUUUAUAAAGGACUAAAAGUGUUAUUUUUAGUGACAAGGUCAAAUUCUACUUUUAAACAAAUUAAUUCAUUAAGACAAAAUACAAGAUCCACGACUACCAACAAAACGAAAAACGAAUACACAUUCAACACCAAAUAUCGUUAUAAACGAAUUGAUUCGGUCUCGAAUCAAUACAAAACAACAAUCGUUAAAUCAAAACACUUCAAUAGAUACGCGAUAACUACAAUGAGUAAAUCUUCAAACUUUGGGCUUAUGAGUUUCAAAUCAUGGUCGUUGGGCCUUGCAUGCCCAUCGACAUGAUCUUUGGGCCUAAAGGGAUAACGCUUAUAUGUUAUUAGGCCUUCCAUGACCCAAUAUUUUAUAAAAGGACUUUCAAUAGCUUUUAUGUGCUAUUGGGCCCUAGAGGCCCAUUAGAAAAGCUAGUAAGGUCACAGUAAUCAAAUGCGUGUUAGACCCUCGUGUCUUUCGCAUCCAUAAUAGCCUAAGGUACUUAUGACAGUAGUGGGACAUAAUGCUCCUCUUCUCUUCGUUCGCUAAGGCUUACGAGAAAUCAAAGUAGACGAAAUUAGGACGAUAUACAAUGUGGAGUAAUCAAUAUUCAUUCGUUAAGACAAUACAAAAAUCAGUAAUCACGAAUACAUUUCAACAUAGGAAAACAUCGGGUUUUCCGGGGAAUUCAAUACUACAACUGGAAAUUUUAUAACUAUAAUACAAAAUACCCUUCAUAUAUAUGUUUUUGAAAUCAUUCGUGCAUUAACUUAUGGAUCUUCACACUUUGAUAAACAAAAGUCUUUUUAGAAAAUAUCGGAUUUUCUGGGUUUUACAAACUACACAAAUCAUUUUAUCACAACAUUGCUUAAGAACUCACCAACAUUUCAUAUGUUGAUGUUUUUCCAAAAUGACUUGUAUUCUCAGGUAAUAGGUAAGCGGAAGAGUAAUAUGAAGUAAUGUUAGGAUGUUAUGUUGUUAAAAUCACUCAAACAGUUUAUGUUAUGAAUAUGUAAUGUUAAAACAUUGUACUUGAUGUGAACAAUUCCAGUUGUAAUAUAUUGAUGCAUGGUGACGUUUAUGUUAUGAUUCAUGUAUAUUCAUUGUGAUGAUAUUCAAUUAAAGUCACGCGAGCCCUCAGACGUUUCCACCGUCUGGUUUGGGGGUGUGACAAAACCACAGAAAAGAUUUUCUAAAUCCGGGAACGAUUGAAAGCUUCUAGAGAUAGACAGAAGAGUUAUGCGGAUAAAUGACAAAAAACCCUUGGAAUUCUAGGUUGGUGACCACGUCUUGUUAAAGGUCUCCCUCCGGAAAGGAAUGAUGCGUUUCGGCAAACAGGGAAAACUAAAUCCAAGGUACAUCGGACCAUUCAAGAUUCUUGAUAGAGUUGGCCCAGUUGCUUAUAAACUCAAACUACCGCAUGAACUUACUAACAUUCAUCCUACUUUUCACAUCUCUAAUCUCAAGAAGUGUCUGUCUGAUGAGACUCUUGUAAUUCCACUCGACUAAAUCAAGUUAAACGAGAGUCUGAACUUCGUGGAAGAACUAGUAAGGAUCAUGGAUAAGUAACUCAAGCGAACAAAAUAAAGCCGUACCCCGAUAGUGAAGGUUCGCAUGAAUGAAAAAUGUGGACCUGAAUUCACUUGGGAACGGGGGGAUCACAUGAAACAAAAGUAUCCGCAUCUAUUUGCCUAGUCUGAUUGUAUCUCUAUAGUCUUAAUUUCGGGACGAAAUUCCCUUUAACAGGGGGAUAAUCUAACAACCCAUUCUUUUGAGUCAACAAAAGUCAAUGAAAUACACACUAGUUCAAUCAAAGCUUGCAUUAGAUCAAACAAGAGUUACAUCCAUUCAUAUCUAAGUUUAAUACUUAGCUUAAUUCAUAUUAUAUCUUAGUAUAAUUGUGAUUAUGCCAAGGAAUUUUACAUGAAAGUUAUACCCUUGAAAUCAUGUAAAAGUUUAAAACAAGUCAAAUGUGAACUAGUGCAAGUUAAGGGGGUUAAACUUAACAAUUAAAGGAAAUUAUGAAAUAUAUAUANUAUAUAUAUAUAUUGAAAUUGGUUUUUAGAAUCAAAUAUCAUCCAAAAACCGAAAUCCCUUAAUGAAUACAGUGCCAAAACCGAAUUCCUUAAUGAAUGAAAGCAAAGCCGAAUUCUCAUUUCCCUUUUACUUUUGGAGCGAAUUCCCCAUCUUAUAUUGACCAAGAAACGGAAUUCCUACCAUUUAUUCUCAUUUUAAGACCGAACACAAGGUGAAUUAGGUCAUAUAGGACCGAAUUCUCCAUGAUAUGUUCAUAAUUUGGCCGAAAACUCCUAUAGUGAUCUCUUAGACACACUUUCCAAAGCUUACACCGCCUUACCUUUUCCUUCAUAAUUAAGUCAUUCAACCCUUCAUUCCAUACAAUCAGUGACCACAAAACUUUCUCAUAUGCUCUCAAGUAUCAAACAGUAAGUCUUCAAACAUUCAAGAACACUUCGUACAUCUACAUACAUAUUUCCUUCACUAUUUAGUAAGUAUUUUUCUUAUAAACUAUUGAUUUGUUAUAAUAGUUUACUUAAUAUUUGAUUAUUAAUCGAUAUUACGUAUAUAAUAUUAUUAGGAUACGUUUCUUAAACACGUGUUCUAACCCGAAAAUCGUCAUUACCACCUCAUUAUCACCCAAGAACACACAUACAAGGUGAGUUCCUACCCCAAUAUUUUCAUGAUUUUUAACUGUUUUAUGGGGGAAUACAAGUGAAAAAUAAUAUAAAAUUGUGUAAAUAUCUAAGAUGAUUUUAAAUAUUUUUAAAUUGUUGCCAUUAUCAAAAUUAUAUAUUUAUAUAUGUGUAAAUUAUAUAAUUUGGAUUCAGAAGAUUUAGAAUAUGUAAUUUGACCCCAUUUACUGUUCCUUGUUUGAUUGUGGGCUUGGGGUAAAGUUAUUUAUUUGAAUGUCUAAUUAAUUACAAUUAUAUAAAUAUUAUAUUUAUAUAAAUAUAAAAUGGUUUUGAAAUUGUUUUGUACUAUUUGAGUACAAACGCUGGAUUUAGUGGAACAACAGUAUUACAAAUUCGUACAAAAAUUAUCCAAGGUUUCCAUUACAGUAAAACAAACAUAUAAACUAUAAUAAGUAUAGUUUAUGGACUUUAUUCAUUGAUUUCAAGGUUCAUAUUACAAAAUGGAAUACAAACAGAGCACAUUACAUAAAACAAACAGAGUACAUUACUGAAAGAAACAUAUAAACUAUAUUAAAUAUAGUUUAUGUAACUUGCAGUAUAUUUAUUUCAAAGUAACUUUUCAUUAUUUCACACGUAAUCAUCAAUAUAGCAUUUGUGAGACAAUCUUCAUGGACUUUACUAAGCACCAACCAAGCCCUAAAAUUAUAACCAAAAUCUCCUGUAAGGAGAGCGUGACACUUGUGUAUAGAUUAUACGGGACAGACAAUCCCGCACCAGAAUUGCUUGCAACAGCUAGGUCGGCAAACCUGUGGUGACAAAUGUCAUCACAUUUGCGACGCCUGAAGAAUGUCGUGUUCAGGCCAUCUUAGGUCGUCAAGCAUGGUUAUAAUAACUCGCAAUUUGUUAUUGAAAAAAAUGAUCAGUGUAUGAAUAAGUAAACAAAUUCACAUGGUUUUAUUAAAAUGAAACUAUAAUACAACAUUUUACAAGUAUAAGUACAUAAUACUAUUUCAGUAUAGAAAAAAACAUACUUGUCAUGGUUUCAAGUGAAAUAAAUUACAACUUACCACCUUAGAGUACAGUAACUUUCACACGUUUUGCUUACAUUAUACUACAAUAGAAAAUAUAUAAUUUUCUGGGAAAACAUGAUUACUUUAUCACAGAACAAGAAAACAGAUUUCAGUUAUAAACAUACUUAUGAACUCACCAACUUAAUUGUUGACACCUUUUCAAAACUACAUGUAUUCUCAGGGAAUCAGUAGACAAGUACACUCACGGCUUUUGAGAAGACGGAACUUUAUAAACUCAUGUCUUUUAAACUUGUAUUUUUGGUGUCAAAUAUACUAUGUUUUGAAAACAUUUGUAAACUUAUAACUUUAUAAAGACAAUCGUUGUUGUCCUUUGAUUACUAUUAUGCAUUGUUGUGAUACUGUACAUGACGUCCUCCGCCCCCGAACGUUUCCGCCGUUCCGGUUUGGGGGUGUGACAGUUUAACAGUCUAAGCCUGUAAAAUAUAUUACUUAAAAAAUAAUGUCAAAAUUCACCGAUGGAGUCUAAACAAAAGUUGCAGAUCUUGUUGAUAGCUAUGUGUGGAUAUAAAAUGCAUCAAUAAUGGAGCUUGUAUGAAGGAAAUACGAAUUUCUGAAGUACUAUAAAUAACUCACACACAGGUACACGUUUCGAAAAGGUGUGCGACGCGCCUCUAACAUACCACAAGAUCACAAUAAGUGGCACCACCCACACGACGUCACUUCAGCACUCCCGACCAAGUGCGUAGUGUGCACCAGACCAGGUGUGUGGUGCACAUUCCGUAUUAUCCCAUCAAAUGUUGUGAAUUCUCCUCAUUUCUUCACACCUUUCUUCCUUAUUCUCUCUGAAACACUUUCCACCUAAUUCCCUUUUACUCUCUACAUUCUGACCACUUCGGCGAAGCCCUGCUGCGUCAGAUAGCUGAUGAUUAGAAACUCCCGAAUCAGAGUUAUGCUUGCAUUUUUCCCGGUUUUCGCUAAAAGCUAUAUAGUUAAGCUACACUUAUUUUAUACACGUGUAACUUUUUAUAAUAGUCAUAGUUAUUAUUAUGAGCUUAUAAUUAAGAUUUAUCAGUAAUUCUAAGUCAUAAUAUUAAUUGAUCUAGUUACGAGGAUGACGUCUAGGCUGGGUUUAGCGAGGUGUUUAAAGUGAGAUUUCCAGACAACAUACUAUGUACACCAAAUGGAUCCUAUAUAAAUUAUUAUACUUACACACAAAUACAAGUAUUCUAAUUGCUUAAACGUUAUGUGUACUGUUUAAUUGUGUUUAACAUAUACGCGUAACAUGAUAUAGCUAUUUCUUGAUUAAACCAUAUAUAAAUUAUUAUAUUUAAAAUAUGAUUAGGUAGUGAAGGGAUGCAUGAAAUAACUAAUACGAGGAUGUGAUAUGUUAGUAAAAGGUUGAGUAAAAUAAUAAAUGGGAGGGUGAGGUAAGGACUUUGCGAAAUAACGAGUUGUGACCCGCUGUGCUAUAACUAAAGUAUUAUUGUAUUUUGUGUCUAGUCACCUAAGAAUAUAUUAGUUAGUAAAAUGUUGUGUGAAAUAAUGAGUUGUGACCAGCUGUGCUAUGAGCAAUGUACUAUCGUACUAUUGUGUUAUGCCUAAAGUACUAUUGUAUCGUUGUGCCUAGAUGGUUAAGGAAAGAUAGAUCCCUUAGGAAAGAUCCCUCGAGAUCAUUAUUUAAAGAUUAGGAAGUGAUGAUAAUAGGAAUGUGUAGCUAGGUUGUUUGUUUACUAAAAGAUGUAUAAUCAAUGAUUAUAAUAUUGUGGGUUGAAAACCCUAUGUAUUCACCAAGUUGUUGGGAUUUCUAUGCAUUAAAUACACUCUAAACUAGGUAGUGAAAAAUCGAAACUACGAUAUACAUAAGUGUACAUGUACCCUAGGAUCUAAGGUUUCAUACUAAUUACAUCUACCUAAUGAAAAUGCAAAUACAAAGAAGAUUCACAUACCUAUUUUGUAGCCAAAGACCUUCUUGCUUGAGUUCUCGUGCAUGGCACCUUGUUUGGAUGUAAAGGACCCAAAACAAAAUCCCUGAAUUGGCUCACACCCAUUGGACUCAAAAGAGUAGAAAAAUAACUAGGAGGGGAUGAAUUGUAAUGAGAGUUCGUCAACUAAGAUGGAGAAAGAAGUGGGAAAAUUCAAGCCAAGAAUGAGAAUGGAAGAAUGUGUCCCUAAGGCCCUAUUUAUAGCCUUGGAUACCUUCCAAGUUUUUAUCAUCAAGCCCAUGUGGGAUGGAUAACCCUUAUGAACGAAAUUCACCUAUUCUUAAGGGAAUUUUUGUCCACCACCCUUUUUUCUAGGGUUCUUGAAUAUUCUUGAUUAAUCAACUAAUGAUUAAUUGAUAUUCAACCCUUCUAUUAAUUAAACUGUUUAAUUAUUUCCCAUUUUUUUCCAAUAAGUUUGUAAUUAGUUAUUAAACCAUAAUAAUUAAUAAACUAAUUACCCCUUCAUUUAUUCUACUUGAUUUGACUCUUGAGGGCAACUCAAGAGGAACGUGCUAUUAUUAGAAAUAUCACCAAUAGUUAAUGAUAUUGGACAUACAUUCCAACACAAGUUUCCCAACCUAAAUCACUCAGCUUCUUUGUAUCACAUGUAGCGGUACAAAGGUAUACGAAUGAUGAGAUAUUUAAGGAGAUGUAGACUAAUAGUCUAAUAUACUAUAAGGCAUGUUUAUGCUUGUGUUUUGUAUUAUUGAUGACAUCCAAAGCUUUUAUAAAUUAAUGAAAAAUAUUUCUCCGAAAGUACUUUUACGGGUCCAAAUUCUACAUUUAUAAAUAAACCUUGUUUUAAAUAAGCAUCAAUAAAAAGUUUUAAAAUAACGGUAAAACUGGGGAUCUCAUAGUUACCAUCAAGGAGGGAAUUAUGGAACUUUAGAUGAUUGCUUAGGGGCCUUUUGUUCUAAGAUCGCGGUGGGUCGGUUAGGGGCAUAAACCUUUAUUUUUGGGAGUUCAAGGCUUGUGGAGCCCAAGAGUUCUUCAGGAGAAGGACCCUUUUGCUAGCCGAAGAUGGAUCGUUGGUAUAGGGAAUGCUUAGCAAACAAGCUUCUGCCCCGAGGGGUUGAAGGUGGGAUAUGCAUCUUUCCUUCUGAGGGAUCGAACUCACGACUGGUGGGAGGAGAUUAGUUAUGCUAUGGCAUCUGAGGCCAUGAUGGCCAUGUCUUGGAGAUGAGGAAUACAAGAUACAAUGACAUGAACAUGGAUGAAAUUUAGGAGUUUUUGAGCAUGUCAAGCUGCAAGACCCUGGAGGACAUGAUUGCUAGAUCCCAGGAAUGGGAGAUUGACUUUGUGAGCAUGUCGAGCUACAAGACCAUGGACAAAGUGCAAGACGGAGAAGGUAUAUAUAGUAGUGGUCCAAGAGAAGAGUCUGAAGACUUUUAAUUCUUGUUCUAGGAGCCAGUAGGGUUGUAGCUGUUGAGAAAAGUGUGGCAAGACACAUGAUGGAGCCUGAACAGCAUUGGGUUCGAGGUGUUUUAGGUGUGUUUUGGCUAGACAUUUUGGUAGGGAUUUCCCUCAUAGAGCAUUGAUAUGUUUCCACUACAAUCGGACGGGCCACAAGAAGGUUGAUUGCUCAAGAUUGACAGUAGGGGUAGUGGUGAUGCCCGCCCUAGCCACCUUGAAGAUUACCUAUGGCCGGCAGGUCAAGGCGGAGGCUCCUCUCAUGAAGAGUAAGACAUUUCAGUUGACUGCCGAGGAGGCAUGAGCAACACCAGAUGUAGUUUCAUGUAUGCAUCUUUACCAUAUCUUUUACUGCUUUCCUCAUUUAUGCUUAUGUUUUAUCUGAUCAUGUAUAGGGAUGUUUUUAGUCAAUGGUAUGACUACUCAUGUUUUGUUCGAUUCUGGUGCUACCUGAUCUUUUGUAUCUCUUGCGUUUAGUAAGAGUUUAGUGAUGAUUGAGGGACUUUGGAUUAUCCAAUGGAUUUGGGGAUUGUCGAUGAUCGCUUAGCGAGUGCUUCUAGCUUUCAUCGGGGAUGUGCUUUGAAUAUGUUCAAUGAGAGAUAUUCGAUUGAUUUGGUUCCGAUUCUGAUGUGAGGGUUGAAGGUUAUUGUGGGCAUGGACUGGUUGGGCCCUAAUGGGGCUAUGAUUGAUUGUAAGCAUUAGUUGGUGUGAUUUCGAACCCUAUAUCAGGGAGAAUUGGUUAUUCAUCGUAAGGGUGCUCAGUAUGGACCGAUUGUCUAUUUAGCUAUGAGAUCUAAGAGGUAUAUAUCGCAUGGGUGUUCUGGGUUCCUAGCUUACGUAGUGGAUACACGAGUUGAGGGCAAUAAAAAUGUUGAUGACAUACCUAUUAUUCAGGAGUUUCCCGAUGUGUUUCCUAAGGAUUUGUCGGGAGUGCCUCCUGAGAUGCAAGUGGAGUUUCAGAGUGAUUUGAUUCUAGAUGCGGCACCGAUAGCCAUGGAAACCUAUCGUUUAGUACCUAUAGAGAUGUAGGAAUUGUCUACACACUUAUAGGAGUUGUUAGAUAAGGAAUUAAUUAGAUCGAGCACUUCACUAUGAGGAGCACCAAUCCUGUUUUUGAAAAAGAAGGAUGGAUGACAUAGGAUGUGCAUUGACUAGCAGGAAUUGAACAAGGGGACAGUUAAGAACCAUUAUUCACUUCCAAGGAUUGAUGAUUUAUUUGACCAGCUUCAAGAAACAUCUUGGUUCUCCAAGAUUGAUUUGAGAUCGGGUUAUCAUCAGAUAAGUGAUAGAGAUGAGGAUGUGGAGAAGACGGACUUUGGGACUCGUUAUUGUCAUUAGGUGUUUGUGGUGAUUCCAUUUGGUUCACAAACACACCGGUGGCGUUCAUGUAUCUCAUGAACCGGGUGUGUAAGCCAAUGUUGGAUCGGUCGGUGAUAAUGUUCAUUGACGAUAUCUUGGUCUAUUGUAAAACCAAGUAGCAGCAUGAGCAACAUCUCUGAGAGGUUUUAAAUGUUGGAUUAAUGUCUAAGUCCAUAACUAUAUUUGGUAUGUACUUGACCCGACCCGGCAUGGUCCAUUUGGGUUGCACUUUACCGGCACAAUUUAUAUGGAUAGUCUUUUGAGAAUAAUAUAUUUAUGAUUUAUAUUAAUAUAUUAUAAGUUCUAAUAUAUUAAUAUAUAAUCAUAUUAUUUAAUUAGUAUUGAUCAAGAAUUAAUCUAUAAUUAAUUAAGUGAUCAAAAGGAACUAAUUAAAUAUGGACUCUUAGAUAUAUAUAUGUGGUGGGCCAAGUUCAUUUAGGUUGGGCUAAGNNNNNNNNNNNNNNNNNNNNNNNNNNNNNNNNNNNNNNNNNNNNNNNNNNNNNNNNNNNNNNNNNNNNNNNNNNNNNNNNNNNNNNNNNNNNNNNNNNNNNNNNNNNNNNNNNNNNNNNNNNNNNNNNNNNNNNNNNNNNNNNNNNNNNNNNNNNNNNNNNNNNNNNNNNNNNNNNNNNNNNNNNNNNNNNNNNNNNNNNNNNNNNNNNNNNNNNNNNNNNNNNNNNNNNNNNNNNNNNNNNGUGGAUACACUAAAGAGGGCAAUAACCGAUUUCAUAAGUGUGAGCCAAGUAUCCAUAUUCUCUAAAGUCUUCCAAGGUGUUUUGGUGAUUUGUGAUUCCACUUGAGGCUUCCAAACUAUUGGGGCUAAGCUUUUAAAGUUUGAAGACAUCAAGCUACAUCAAAACGUAUGUCAUCUAUCUAGAACUUUGUAGCAUAGGUGCUUCAUAAUAUGCUAGUUACAAUGAAACCUUGGAAUAUUUAAUAUUUGCAUGUAUAAUAGAGAAAACAUAGAUCCAAGGUUUAUAGGGUUGCAUGUACACUAUAGGAGUGUUAUAAUGGUUAAAACCCAACAGUGGUAUCAGAGUCUGGUUGUUUUCUGUUAUAUUCAUGCAAAUGUUUGAUUUUCAAAGUUGGAAAAAAAAGAAAAAAAAAAACAUGAAGUUUGUCAAAUUUUAAGAUAAUUACUUGUAUUGUGAAAAACUAAUUAUUUGUAAAAUUUGAAUCAUUUGCUAUAUGAGUUGAAUUAGGUCAAAUUUAGUAAAAAGAUAAAAUGAUAUGAUUAUUUUAUUAGUUUUACAAAUUUGAUCUAAAUGUUUUAAGGAGUUACAAAUUUUGUCAUAAAAUUUUGAAGCUCAACAAUUUUUUUUUAAAGUUGUGAUCUUAAGUGUUUUGAAACCUCCAUAAGUUAUGGAUAUGAAAAGGUUUUAAAAAAAAUUGAUUCAAAGUUUUUAUGGAGUUACAAAAUUUGGUGUUAAUGUUUUAAAGAAUUCCAUAACUUAUUCUUAUGUUAUGGAACAUGAAAAUUUCAUCGUAAAACAAGCAUUUAACUCCAUAAGUUAUAGAUUACCAAAAGUUUUGUGUUUCCUUGAUUUAUGAGUUAGUUUAGAUUAAUGAAUUUUUUUUUUUUGUAUUUUAGUUGUUUUCAAUCCUAAUUAUUCUAGAGGUAGUUCAUAAAAUGUGUUUUUGUAACUUGCCCUCAAGUUACAUAAAAGGUUACAUUUAUGAAUAUUAAAACUCAUAAAAGUGUCAUAGGUUACAUAAAAAAAAUGAAGAGUCUUUUUCAUUAAAUAGUAUUAUGACUCCAUAACUUGUCCUCAAUUUAUGGAUGUUUAAGAGUCACUUCUUUAAAAGUGUUAUUAAAGAAUAAGAGGUUACAUAAAAAAUGAAGAGGCUUCAUUUUAAAGAACCAUUAAACUCAUAAGUUAUGAAAUGAAAAGUUUUGAAUAGUUUCAAAAACUUGCCCCCAAGUUUUGGAAUUUGUAAACUUUUCACUUAUGAAUACUUUAAUUCCAAGUUAAGCCCUUAGAAUUUUAAAAGUUAAAAUUCAACCCUUAUACUUUAUAAUAUUAUAAGUUAGUAAUAUAUAUAUAUAUAUAUAUAUAUAUAUAUAUAUAUAUAUAUAUAAGAGUAAAGUCGUCUUACCAUUAGUAGGCCUCAUUCACGAAGCCGGACUAUAAGGGGGGGUAUAAGGUUACUGCCUAUAAAAUGACAGUUUAAUGGGUGUCCACUCUCACCCACCACUUCCUUAACCGGUGGAGGGUCGUUAGCUGAACGGGUAGGACAAGGACUAUAAUUAUCCCUUCAUUAAAAGUAUUAAUGAUAAAUACUAAGUAACUAAACUCUUAUUAAUACCCAAUCUUAGUUACUUAGGAAAAUGUGAAUUUGGUGCUAACCCAUGAAAUUACACUUUGCACUUUGCUUAAGUCAGUUAGUGGAGCCUGUGUGGUUAACCGGCACACUAGCUUGAUUUAACAAGGUAGGCAAAGGGUAACUUAAUGUUUAUCGUAGUGUUAGGGUGCAAAGUCACUCUUGGAUGUAGUGUUUUAGGAUUUCCUCUUUGUAUGUGUAAAUGGGUUGAGUCUUUCCUAUAAAUAGGAUGUGAGUGACUCCCAUUAUGUAAGUGAAUCCAUUUGGAGUGUUAGACUAGAGAGAGAAAUUUGUACAAACCCAUUUUGUAUAUUCUUUCUAGAUCUAGUAAGAGCUUAUAAAGAUUUAUUUACUCCUUGUGUUCUUGAAUUUGUAUGAUGAAUCACUAGAUCUUUCCUAAUUCGGCACAUGCCAUCAUAAUCAACACCACUUCAAUUGGUAUCAGAGCGGGUGUUCUUGAUUUGAUCAAGAAUUGAUCCUUGAUGGCUUUCUUGAUUUGGUGAUUCAUUUUAUGAUCUUGGAUCUUCGUGUUUUGAGAGUGUUUUGUGUUCUAGAAAUCGAAUUUUUCCUUGAUUUGAUCCAUAAUUCGAUUUUCUCUCUCUAGAAUACUUGUUUGUUUCGCUUUCUCUCUCUAGAGAUCUCCUUGAUUUACACUUUCUCUCUCUAGAAAACCCAAGUUCAUAUCAUUUGUGUCACACCCCCGAACUAGACGGCGGAAACGUCCGGGGGCUGUCGUGAUUCAAUUGAAUACCAUCACAAUGAAUAUACAUGAACAUAACAUCAUACAAUACCAAGCAUUGGAAUAUUACAACUGGUAGCGUUUACAUUCAGUACAUUGUUUCAAAAUAUUACAUUCCCAAAAGUAAAUUGUUCGAUAUUAAUUAAACAACAACAAAACGUCAUAAAGUACAAUUCUUCCUUCACUUUAUCUGUUACCUGAGAAUACAAGUAUUUUGAAAAACGUCAACAUAUGAAAUGUUGGUGAGUUCAUAAGUAAUGUUUGAAAUCCAAUGUUUUGUAUCGUUUUGAAAACCACCAGAAAAUCCGAUAUUUUCUGAAAAUUGUAUAGUAUAAAAGGUGUGAAGAUCCGAAAGUAUGCUUGUUUGUUUCUAUAAAUGUAAGAGUACGAUUUGUAAAACUCGGUAUGUAAUUCGUAGGUGUAAUAAUUGAAAAUCCUAGGAAAACCCGACGUUUUCCCAUUACUUUGCAUUAAAUAAUUUUAUGUUUCGUUAUUUCGUUACGACAGGUGUAUUCGUUGAGCUCCGGGGACGUUGGAUUAAUUGUGGAUUGUGAAUUGCUGUAACCGUACAUUAAUGAAAAUGACCCGUUGACAACCGUACAAAAGAUUCCCUUAGGCGUCGCUCACACUAUUCACUUAACCCAACCACCCGCACUCAUGUAGCCCCACGACCGAUGGGAAAAGUGAGUGUGAAGCCCCAUGUAAUUCCCUACGUCGUUCAAGGCUGUAGUGAAUGCGAAGGGCCCUUAGCCCAACUCGCAUUGGUGAAUUCUCGACUUUGCUAGCAGUACCGAAGGACCCUUGGGGACCAGCAACACGUUGCNCUAGCAGUACCGAAGGACCCUUGGGGACCAGCAGCACGUUGCCAUUGAAAGUCCUUUUACGCUGUGUUGGAUCAUGUAAGACCCAACAACUCGUAAGGUUGAUGUCUUCGGGCCUAAAGAUCAGGUCAUUGGGCUAGCUAGGCCCAACAAACAAGAUUUUACACUUUUGGGCCCAAAGAUGGUGUAUCGAGUCUGUGCACUCUCACGUGUGUAUUAAAUUCCCAAAUUUUCUAUGUAUGAAUCGAGUUGUCGUCGUGUUAGUAGUUUCGGAUUUGUUAUUGAUUCGAGACCGAAUCAAUUCGUUUGAUAACGAUUUUUGGUGUUGUUGUGUGUUGUAAUUCGUCGGUAGUCGCAGUGUCAAUAUUUGAUCACAACGGAUGUAUUGAAUUAACAUUGAAAUUUUUCUGUUUACAGCCCCGCUUUAUUUUGUAAAUUUACUUUUUCAACCCUUUGAAUAAAUUAAUUUCCGGUUUAGUCCAUAAACCAUUUUUUCUUGGCAUUCUAACACCAAAACUUGUUGAAAUUGAUAUUUUUCAGCACAUUUUUAGUUGAAAACAGUUUUAGUCGCUCAAAAUACAUAUUUCUCGGCUGUAACCUCUCUUUUUCACAAAUUUUACACUUUUGGCCCAAAUUGGAAAAUUUUUGCAACUUUUGUCCUUUUUAAUUAUGAAAAGCAUUUUUAACCUUUGAAAAGGACUUGGAACACUAGUAGUCCACUGUUUUACGGAAAAACACAGUUUCAGCCCCUCAAAUUGGAAAAUUUCGCAUAUUGGGCCCUAUUGGGCCGAAAAGUUCAUUUUUAGCCCAUUAAGUUUAGAAAUUUACAUUUUAAACAUUCUAAAGUGUAUAUUUCUGGAAAAAUUACUUUAUGAAACUGUUUUGACACUUCUUAACCUCCAGAAUUUGUAUUUUUACAUUUUGGGCCCUUAAACUUCAUAUUCUUAGCAUUUUAAGUCCAAAAAUGUGAUUUUUAGCCCAAGAUGUUCAUCUAAACCAACUUGGUUAUUUUUCUAGUAAUGGCUUAUGUAUAAUGAUAUGUUUUAGCACUUGUUUCAUGCAUCAUAACACAAAUCUCGAUUUUUAGGUCCUUUUGACUAGUUUCAACACCAUAAACACACAAAAGUAUGUAAAUAAACAUAGAAAUCAUACAAGGCAUACACAUAAUGAUAGAUCUACACAUUUGCUUGUAUCCCCCCCACAAAACUUAUAAAAACCAAAAAUAAGGGGGUAUGAAGCUCACCUUAGGGUGUGGUUUUGGUUUUGGAGGAGAAAUGGAAGAAAGUUUGGUGAUUUUCGGCCCUAGCACACUUUGAUGAAGAUCUCGGCCUUGAGGUGAUUCUAGGAUGUAAGAUCAUGAUUUUUGCAUGGAUUAGGAAGAGGGUUUUGAUAAAACAAAGAAUCUAGAUCAUAGAUCCAAGCAUAAUCUUACCUUAGAUGAAGAAUUUGUGGAAAUAUCUUCUUGAAAAACCUUCUAAAUUUCGAGAUCUUGAUGAAGAGUGGAGGGAGUUUUUUUGAGAGAGUUGUGAGAGAAUUAUGUGUGUGUGUGUUUGAAAUCGGCCAAGAACGGGAGAGAGAGGAAGAGGUAGACCUUGAGGUGAUAUAUGCAUGGGAAUAUGAGAUAUGUUGCAUGGAUAACCAAGAGGUAAUAGUGAGGUGUCACUUGAAAGUCAACCCUCUUCCAUGUUGGGUUGUUUGGGCCGAGAAGUGAAGAAGGAAAGGGAGAAUAUUGGGUUUCUUUUGUUUAAGCCCAUAUUAUGACUUAAUUAUGUAAUUUUUCGGCCCAAUUACAUCAAGGUAUGAUUAUUAUGAUCCAUUAGGGCUAUAUGAAUUUGCUAUGACCCAAUAAGGUCCAUUAGGGUGUUAUAUUUCAUUUUAGGCCUAUUAUGGCCCAAAAUAUUGGAUUAAAUGGAAUUGGGUCCAAUUAGAGCCCAUUUGAAGGUUCUAAUCCAAUGAUAGUCAAAUUGGAAGCUUAUUGGUCCAAUGAGUCCGAUAAGGAAGUCCUAGUCCAAAAUGAACCUAACAAGAACUUCUAGGGUUUCCAAUUGCUUAUUGACUAUUAGUAGUAUUUGUAUGGUGUAUUGGAUUGAAAUUUUGUUGUCAUAGAGUAGGUAUCAUACAUGCUCUUUGGGUUUUUGAUUCUACACUUUUACCUGAAUGUAGUGAUUACAAGACACAAAAUUUCUAGUUGUGACAAUUUCAUUCGAAAGAGAAGAAGCAAUUAUGGAGAAAUAGAUGAUACAUAGUGAAGAUGUUCAAAGUGAAUGCUCAUUUGAAUAUAUUCUUUAUAGCUUAACUGUUGGAUUGAAAAAUGAAUAUGAUAUUGUUGUAAAUGGAGAAAAGAAUGAAGUUGGAGAAUUAAUUAGUUGUCCAAUUAUUCGAACCAAACAUUUGUUUGAUCGUUUGGUUACAACAUAUCAAAAGAGACGAAGAAAUAGGAGAGAUGGAGAUGUCAUAAAAGGAAUUUCUCGUGCUGAAUGCAAAUAUGGAAGCAAUAAACUUGAAUAUUAUGCAGAUUGUCGUGAUGCUCGGGAUGGUGUUCUUGAUGAUGAUGAUGUUCAAGAAAAAGGAGUUCAAGUUGAUUUUCAAGAUGAUUUUUUUUUGCUCAAUUGGAGUUCAAACCGAUGAUAUUUUGUGUUCUUGUGAUUCGUUUGAAGGAAUGAUUCCUUAUCGGUAGCCGGUGAUCCAUGAAAAUCUCAAGUAUCAAACUCCAAAAGAUUUGAUUCAAACUCACAAUUUUCAUGUUGUUGAAAGUGGGUUUGUUCAUGGAGUCAAGUCUUCAAGAUGUAAAAAGAUGAGAAAGAAAAAGAAGAAGAAGAUCAAUCGCAAAAACAAGCGGGUUUACUCACAAAAAUUGUUAAAUGUUGUGAAGCCGAAAUCCGUGAAGCAAAUUUGGGUUCCAAAGCAACAAUCUCCAAAUGUUGCAUUGAAUUUGACGUCAAAACCCAAAAGUGUUGGUGGUUCUUUUGAAGAUGUUCUUGGAUCGUUGAAGAACACGAAGAACAAGUUGUACAUCUCGCAUGGUGGGUGGUACAAUGUUCGAUUUGGAGAUUUUCUCAUUCCGACAAAAGAACCAAGAUCUUGCAAAUUUGAUUCGUUCGUUGAAAACGGAACUCGAUUCGUCAAAAAGGUAUCUCAAAUUCUUAAAUGGAUUCCAAAACGUCCAUGAUUUCGAUUCGUAUUUUACGUUUUUCAUUUUUGAUCGAUUUGCCUCAUUGGAUCAAAUCUGUUUCAACCCCAUUGUUGAUCCAAUUAUUUUUUUUAGAUCAAUUCAAAAAUCAAAAUCAAUUUCUCAUUGUGAUCAAUUGUUAUGAUCAAUUAAAAUCUCGAUUACUGUUCAUUCUCGAUUUGAGCCCAUAAAGUUUUCAAAAAUUGUUCAUCUAAAGCCCAAUUCGUGAAAAGAUUGCUCCGAUUUUUCUUUUGCUCAAACUUCUCGAUUAUUCUUAAUCAGUUUGUUCUAUAUUCUCAUUCGAUUCAAGAUGAAUACUCACAAAAUCGAAAUGCAAAAUUGAUUCAUAUUCUUGUUCUUCACUCGUUUCCAGUUAUUGUAUUCUCGAUUGAUCUUUGAUAGCGAAUGAGAUUCAUCAUUUUUNUUUGAUAGCGAAUGAGAUUUCAUCAUUUUUUUUUCGAUGAGUUUACCUUUUACUUUUGAAUCGACUUUAAUUGAUUUCAUCAUCAUCGGUCGAUUAUGAUCAAGUUGUAGGUUAGAAAAGUAUCGAUUUGUAUAUAUCGAGGGAUAAAUUCAUCAAGUCAAAUCCAAAAAGUCAAGAUACUUAUUCUUUGAUGAUUAAUUGAUCGAUAUCUGUAUUUUGACUGAAGGGUCACGAUUUGAGAUUUUAAAUGUGUAGCCGAAUCGUGAUUUGAGUUGUUUUUGUUGAUCAAGUGUCGAUUGCCCUUACCUAGAUUCGAAUGCAUUGAAAUUGAAAUAUGCACUAGAAAUCUAACAAGUAUCGAUGAUGAUUUGAGCGUGUUUAGUUUGAAUCGAUUUUCAAUUUGAGUAGAUACGAGGUGGAAAUCGAGUUCAAAGGAACGAAGGAAUCGAUUUUCGAAUGUGUGAAGACGAUUUUGAUUUUAAUCAAUGCUAGUCUUAUUUCGCAUAUUUUGGAGUCGAUAGGUUGGGGAUGAAUAACGAAGACUUGAAAUCUAGAUUUCGCAUGAUUAGAGUCGAUGAUCUGUAAAAGAAAAUUUUGAUUCGGGUUGAACUGUGGAAAGCGAAUCAGGGUAUUUGCUUUUGGGGUUAACUGUGAAGAAAAAGCGAAGUUUGAAAUGAAUUUGGAUAUCGUUUGAGUUUAGUUUGUUAUUGCUGAGAAUGUUUGUUCGCAUCUUGCUGUAGUGGAUUCGCAUAUGAAAUCAAUUGAGUUCACAUCUGGGUCUUCAUUGAGUUUGCAUAUGAGGUUAUAUUGAUUAGGUUUCGCAUCUAAGAUUGAUGAUUGAGUUCGCAUAUGCGAAAGUUCUUCAUUUGCAUCUGUUGAAGUCGAUGUGCGAAAGAUUAUUAUGCGAAGCGUUUGUAAGGAACGUGCGAAGAAUUGACGAUGUGAAAUACGCGAAGUAUUUCACUGGUUAGUGAAUUGAAGAAGAAAACAGAAGUUUUAAAAAGAGUCUCUGCAGUUUCGUAAUAUUGGCAGUUUAUACCCAACUUCGCAUAUGGGUAAUAUAAGCUGAGAAAUUGCAGAAUUUUUAGUUCUGGUCCCUACGGUUUGUGCGAAUUUAUGCUUGAUGCCCGGUUUCGCAAAUGGGCUAGAGUUUCGCAUAUUUGACUGUUUUUGGCGCAGCGGGUCUCUGCAAGUUUCAGAAAGUGACAACUUCUACCCGGUUUUUGAAAAAUCUUACAACUUUCACCCAAAAAUUCAAAAUUUUUCAUAAAUUGGAAUUUUUUUGUGGCUUUUUCGUGAUUGUUUUUCCGUGCAAGAUUUUUGGUGAUUCAUUUUUGGUACACAUCAAGGGGGAGUAUUGUGAAGACUAUUCCUCGGGCGCUUCUCUUCCUUAGUGGGUUUUAUAAUAAUUUUUUGAUUAUAAAAAGGGGGAGAAUAAUGGGUAUGCGAAGCUUCUCGGGGUUGUCGAAUAUUCAUUUGCGGAUUUGAAGACUGGUGUUACUUUGAGGGGGAGUUUGGUCUUGAUCGCGCUAGCUCGUUGGAGAUUGAAGCCGGACAUCCAAUCCUAACUUUGAGGGGCAGAAUGUUACGGUGCAAAGUCACUCUUGGAUGUAGUGUUUUAGGCAUUCCUCUUUGUAUGUGUAAAUGGGUUGAGUCUUUCCUAUAAAUAGGAAGUGAGUGACUCCCAUUAUGUUAGUGAAUCCAUUUGGAGUGUUAGACUAGAGAAAGAAAUUUGUACAAACCCAUUUUGUAUAUUCUUUCUAGAUCUAAUAAGAGCUUACAAAGAUUUAUUUACUCAUUGUGUUCUUAAAUUUGUAUGAUGAAUCACUAGAUCUUUCCUAAUUCUGCACAUGCCAUCAUAAUCAACACCACUACACAUAGUAUCGGUGGAGCGUGUGUGGUUAACCAGCACAUCAAUUGAGGGGUAAAUAUUUAGGGUACCAAGUAUAUUUGUAUGGUUAUUCACACCUUAUUUUGUGAUCCUCGGCAUCCCAGUCACAAAACCUGAAGGGCACACUCGAGAUUGAAACAUGCCUUUGAAAAGUUCAAUGAAUCUCAAAAGAAUCUAGGAGUUUCAAAACCAAUUAAAACCUAAUAAUACGUUUCCUUUAUCUUGGUGGAAAUUGGUGAAUCGUCAUUCACCUACCUUCAAAUAUUUUAUAGCUUGGAUUAUGGCAUCCCUCUUCCAAGUUAUAAAAUAGUUUGCUGGGUCCUAGCGUUAAUAUUUCAAAUUGGGUGUUAUAUUAAGGACUUUAGAUCAACUGUCUUGAAUAUCUCCCAAAAAGAUGUCUGGUUCAGACAUCUAUGAUCCUCCCAAAUAUCUUGGCACUUCACUUCCUCCACCUCCUCUAAUUAUUCUCCCUAACCCACAAGUUCAAGGUCACUCAAGCCCUAUUGGCAAGCAAGGUCUAUGUGUGAUCGCAUCUUGGAGACGAAGUCAUAUAUUUACAAGCCGGGAGAGUUGGGUGUCAAAAUCUUGAGAAAGUUGGUGGCUCAAUCACUCUCUAAGUCACAUAGUGAAUUCCUUCGGGAAUACUAUGAAACAGACUAUGACAUGACCCUUAAUGAUCUUAUCUAUUUGCUUGGUGCUGCAGAAUCAUCAAUAAUUUGGAGCACUUGGAAAGAAAAUUUGAUUAGUAGAUUAACUUCCCAAACUACCAUGGACAUUGACAAUGGUAACAUUGGAUAUCUAGAAAAGCCUUCUCUUCCCAGGGAAAGGGAUUGACUAUAGUCAACUAGGUUGACCAAAUGGUAAAGAGAAAGGCUAAGUCUAUGAUAGUCCCAUGUACCAUUCCCAAAGAGUCCCUAUGUUUCUCUUGCCAAAGGAAGGGGCAUUGAUUGCGAAGCAGCCUAUUUACCUGAAAGAUCAUAAGGUUGAUCAAGUCAAGAAGACUGACUCUACUUUAGGCAAAGUCCACUAUCUAACUCUGUUAAGUUUCUAUUCUGAGAUUCUUGUUACAUGAUGUGUCUGGGUCACAUGUUGAUGUUUUAAGAAUCAAAGAAAAGUGAAGAAAAUUAAAGGAUGUAUAUGAUGAUUUUGGUCGCACAGAUGGAUCUCGAUCGCAUGGUUCUGUGAUCAGAAUUUUGAGCUGUUGCUUAGGAAUUAGGAUAUAUUGCUUAGGAAUAGAUAACAAAAAAGUUUUUCAUGUGCUUUUGCACUGUAAGGAUAGUUUAUCCGCAAAGUUUUUAAAAUAAACGGAAAAAAAUUGAUUAUAUUUAUUUUAAAAUAUCCUUACAAUGGCAUUUGUGAAAAGGAAAAAAAUUGUUGCUUAUAUGAUUCCAUUAAUAGCAAGAGUGGAAAUAUGAAUUUGAUUCUUUCAUUUGUGGUAGUGUCUAAAUUUUCCAAAUAAGGAAAGAUUCUCGUCACCCGAGUUUCAGUUGGAUAGAAACUUUGAAAUCAUGCAAGUUGUAUAGUAUGAUGAAUGAGAACUUUCAAGCAUUGGAAAAUUGAGACUAAUUACUUGUUCACAUGGAUGUGUGAGUCAGGUAAAGGACUAAGGGAUCGAGUACACAUUCUUGUGCACUGAUCAAGCCCAUCACAAAUGUAACUUGAGUGACACAUCUUAAAGAAGGUUUAUUAACACUAGUGCAAUGUAAGAGUAAAAGGUUUUCUACUCUUAUACAUUUGAAUUUGGUAAGUUGUGAUGUUUUGGAUAAAACAAAGACCAACUUAGGCUAAUUGUGUUAAGUGUUUGUCUUGAUUAGAAUCCACACUAUCUCUUGAAUAUUUGGCAAGAAAGUCUUAUAGGUCAAGGAGACAGUGGGAGUCUAAAAGAUCCUGAAAGGGUUUCAAGAAGUAAUCAAGAAUAAAACCUGUAUUUCAUCACUAGCACACAACUAGAAGUUUAUAACCUAUCGCGUUGACAUUUCUGUGCCCAUUCCAGUUAAUUUGACUAUACAUUUCAGUUCUACAUGUUCUCAAUUGUUUGUAUAGCUACUUGGAAGCAAUGGCAGGCCUUUGAGCUGCCAGGUGGCAAGAUUGCACAAGUUCAAUCCAUAUGAGUUAGGAUUUGUCACUAACCUAGUCUUGUUAUUAUGGUUUGACAAAUUCACAUGGAUAAGAACACAUACACCAUAAAAUCUAAGUGUCAUAAGGUUUCUCUCAGAUUCAUGAAAAUGAUGGUGAGGAAAUUCUUUCACUAAGUAGAUUUUAACUAGAUAGCAAUUUUCAUAUUUGUAGUUCUCAAAGUCGUUAGUGGAGCGUGCGUGGUUAACCGGCACACUAACAUUGACUUAUAAGAAAUGGCAAAAGGUCUAAACAAUUGAGACUAUGAUUAUGGCAUCCCUUUUCAUAGUUCAGAAAUUGUUUAGACACACCUGUGAUCUAUCUAAGAUAAGGUGUCUGAUUUUGAUAAAUUCUUAUCAAAGCAAUCUAGUAUCAGAAAUCUGAACAUUGGGAAGAAUGUCAAUAAAGUAUUAACUUCUAGAGGUCCAGCUGUUUUCUAGAUACAUGUCAAAGCUAGUGGGAGCAUAAGUGUUAUGCUAAUAAUCAUCAUGUUAAUGGGAGCAUGAUAAUUAUGAGAAGUAUUGCAAGUUAGAAAUGUUAAUUAUAGAAAACAAAAGUUUCAAUUCGUGAGGUUGCAGGGGUUGAAAAAGUUGUUUUUCUAUGAUUAAGGGAAAGGAAAUUAUACUUCAUUUCAAUUCUAAAAAGCAUAUAUUAUGAUUUUAAUCACCUUUAGUCAAGAAUAUAUAUAUANNNNNNNNNNNNNNNNNUAUAUAUAUAUAUGAAUUUCAGGUUGGAUUGGUUCAACUUCAGAAAAUUCUAUAUAUUGCAUUCUCAAAAUUCGAUUAUGAUUACGACAUCCCUUUUCAUAGUCAAAUUUUGAGAAUAUGGCAAACAAAAAAUUUGUAGCACCCGGUCCUUGGUAUGUAUUCUGUUAUUAAAUCUUCAUGUAUUUUUGACACUUUUGGCCUUGGACUCGACGAGUCGAAGGACUGAAUCGCCGAGUAGAAGCGGGAUGAGGGGCGGUGUUUAGGUUGCGGACUUGGCGAGUCGAGUCCCGGACUCGGCGAGUAGCCGCUGUUUGGGCAAAAACCCUAAUCAAGGGGUUUGCACCUUAUUUAAACGACCUUAUGCAUCCUCCUUUCCCCUUUUAUGCUCCCAAACACUCCUCAUAUCAAACCGUAGCCGUUUUUGUGAAGAUCUAAGGCUUUUUGAGUGAUUCUUGUGAGUUUUGGCCUCAAGGAAGAAGGAAGAGCAUAGAAGGAUCAAGAGGGGACUGAAUGAUUCGAGUUUGGUUUAUCAUUUGCAGCCUUUGCAAGGUAUAAAGUCUGAACCUUACUCAUUCUUUUGUUAGAAACCUCUUUGGAGUGAUUUAGGGCUUUCAUAUGCCAUUUUUGGUGGCCAACCAUGUUUGGAAACAUGGUUGGGGGUUUGGGUUUCUGUAUCAUGUCAUUUUAUGAGCCACAAGUCAGAUCUAGGUUGCUUUUUGCACCAAGGAAGGCCCCAUGCAACAAAAGAACCAUUCUAGAGCCUUUUAAGCUCUAAUGUCCCAUGCAUGCACGUAAAGUUUGUAACUUUACAUGCUAGAUCGAGUUUAUGGGCCUGGAUCUAUCAUUUGGUUAAGUGUUGUACAUCAGAAAUCAAAGUUCUUAGUAAGGAAUGUGAUAGACUCAGCGAGUCCAUUCCUGGUCUCGGCGAGUCCAAGGGUUUUGGUCCCAUAUCAGUGAGGGUCGUCAGGACCAGUUGAGUGUGGAAGGGUUUUUAGGAGACCCGGGGAGUGACCCAACGUUCUGGACUAAGCAAAGUGUUCUGGGAAUUCAUGUUACUCGGCGAGUCCAAGAUAAUCUUCAUGGAACUCGACAAGUUAUUCAUCAACUCGGCGAGUCGAGGACAGAACGUGUUCAUAGGAUGAAGAGUAACUCGACGAGUUGUUCAUACAACUCGGCGAGUCAGUUCAGGACAUGAGUAUCAGUUGAUGAUGAACUCGACGAGUUGUUCAUACAACUCGGCGAGUCAGAUGUGGAUUUAGUCGGUGCUCAUUUAGAAGGAAAACUCGUCGAGUCAUCACCUAACUCGACGAGUAGAGACGGGUAUGAGGUCUGAUGGAAGGAUAGGGACUCGGCGAGUCAGGACAACUGGAAGUUGACUUUGACAUGGUUAAGGGGUAAAAAGGGUCAUUUUACCCUAAGGGUAGACGUCAGUUUCUGACUAAGUGUUUUGUGGGAAUUUUAGCUAGAGGACUUCCGGAGCAGCCGCUGCAACAGUCAGAGGAUUCUCGCACAGUUCAGCAGAUACGAGGUGAGUUGCCUUCCAGUAGGGGUGGGUCUAAGGCCAUAAUGCCAGCCCACCAUUAAGGAGUAUUUAGAAGAUAAUUGUCUUUGUGAUAAUUUAUCUAGGUUUGCAAUGCAUUUGGUUAUGUGUUAUAUCUGUAUGAUAUGUUGUAUGAUAGGGAUAGUUUCCCUGAUAGUGGUCCGUAGGACCAAGGGGUAGGUUAGUACCCGGAUAUGUCUGAAUGUGUGCUUAUAUCUGCUACCGUAUGCUAGUGGUAGGGGGUGGAAUAGUCCCCAGUUACCGGUUGAAAGAUACCGAUGUCGAUUACCGGUUGAAAGAUACCGAAGACGAUUAUCGGUUGAAAGAUACCGAUGAGGAUUAUCGGUUGAAAGAUACCGAUGGUAUUUUAUGGUAUGUGGCAUGAUGGGGGAACUCACUAAGCUUUGUGCUUAUGGUUUCAGUUUUUGGUUUCAGGUACCUCUUCAUCCAAGGGGAAGGAGCCGGCGGCGGAGCAUGGCAUCACACACACUCGCAUUUGAUUUUCGCACGGUGUUUUCUGGGAUUGUACUCUGAUAUGACAUUUGUUCGUGGUUGUGGGUUUCAAAUAUGAUACUUGGUUUGAGAUGAUACGUUUAUACAAUAUUUUCCAAUGAAUGUUUUAUGCCUGAUUUGGUUACUCAAUGCAUGAAUGCUGCUUGCUUUGUGCUAUAGGGUUCUGGCUAUUUCCAACUAAGGAGCGGAUAUAUAACAAUACCUGCAAGCUAGUUAGGGGGAAAUGGUAGGGACUCUUGCACAGCUGAUGGUAGAGAGUAGGUCGGAGAGUGCCCUAGGGAAGCCUAGGAUGAGGUUACUGGAAAGGGGUAUCGAUAAAGGGACCUGGUGAAGUCGAAGCAAUCCUUGAGGAAAGCACGUGUAGAUGUGGAAGGUAGUAUGCGCCCGUACUACUGAAAGCAGAGGACCCGUACUUGAAUCAAGGAGGGCCUAGAUGAAAUCGGUAACCUUGGGCAGCGUGUUAGAACUCUCGAGUAUAUGUAUGAUCCUGACGUUUAUGCAUGUGUUUUCAGUAUGGUGACCACACGACUUGGAGCAGGAGGUUCCGGAUUAGGAUCAUCAUCGGGCUCGGGUUCGGGAUCUGAGCAGGUUGAUGACGGGCUACGCGAGUUCAUCGCGUUUGAGAUCACAAGGGGCAUCCUUGAGUCGACCCCUAUCUUUUUUGGGUCGAUCAAGGAGGGGAUUGUUGAGCUGAUGGAGGAUCGUCUCCGAUCAUUCAAGAGUGAUAUGGCGUCUAGCCAGAUGGGUACGCGCACACUUUCCUUUAAGGACUUUCGUGGGAGUGGUGCACCGGAUUUCCAUGGGGUGAAAGACCUCAUUGCUGUUAGCAGAUGGAUUGCAGACAUUGAGUCUGCACAGUUGACGAGCUUCUGCCCAGAGGGGUCGAAGGUGAGGUAUGCAGCAGGAUGCUUGCGAGUCAGGUCAACUGGAGUUGACUUUGACGUUGACUUUGACUUGGUCAAGGGGUAAAAAGGGUCAUUUUACCCUAAGGGUAGAUGUCAGUUUCUGACUAAGUGUUUUGUGGGAAUUUUAGCUGGAGGACUUCCGGAGCAGCCGCGGCAGCAGUCAGAGGAUUCCUGCACAGUUCAGCAGAUACGAGGUGAGUUGCCUUCCAGUAGGUGUGGGUCUAAGGCCACAAUGCCGACCAACCAUUGAGGAGUAUUUAGAAGAUAAUUGUCUUUGUGAUAAUUUAUCUUGGUUUGGUAUGCGUUUGGUUAUGUGUUAUAUCUUUAUGAUAUGUUGUGUGAUAGGGAUUGUUUCCCUGAUAGUGGUCCGUAGGACCAAGGGGUAGGUCAGUACCCAGAUAUGUCUGAAUGUGUGCUUAUAUCUGCUAUCGUAUGCUAGUCGUAGGGGUGGAAUAGUCCACAGUUACCGGUUGAAAGAUACCAAUGUCGAUUAACGGUUGAAAGAUACCGAUGACGAUUACUGGUUGAAAGAUACCGAUGAUGAUUACCGGUUGAAAGAUACCGAUGGUAUUGUAUGGUAUGUGGUAAGAUGGGGGAACUCACUAAGCUUUGUGCAUACGGUUUCAGGUACCUCUUCGUCUAUGGGGAAGGAGUCGGUGGCGUAGCAUCGCAUCACACACACUCGCAUAUGAUUUCCGCACGGUGUUUUUUGGGAUUGUACUCUGAUAUGACAUUUGUCCGUGGUUGUGGGUUUCAAAUAUGAUACUUGGUUUGAAAUGAUGUGUUUAUACAGUAUUUUCCAAUGAAUGUUUUAUGAAUUAAUUAAUCAAAAAAUGAAAUUUUUGGGCUUGAAUCUUGGGAUGUUACAAAAUUAUUAUGGCAAAAGACUGGUCUAGAACCAUGUCUUUAUGUGAAACAUCAUGAAACGUGUCCCAUUUACUUUGGGUACAAGAUCGAUUACAUGUGCUAUAAUAUUUAUCCUUUCUGAAUUUUCCAAAUGCCUUGGGGCAUUAAGGGGAACAAUGCUUAGAAUUGGAUAUGACUAAAGUGAUUAAGAAAUUCUCGUGGACAAUCUAAGGUUUACCAAAGAUUGGUUGCUCAAGGAUAUUGGGAAGUAUACUGCUAAUAUUGGAAGGACCAUAUUAACAUAGUCUGAUAAGAGGAAACUCUUGUUCAGAAGUUGUAGUCAAAAUGGGAAUAUAGAGUUAUCUUCAUAGGUGGAAGCAAUCUGUGUAAGGUUAAAGAAACUUAACGCAAGAAGCAUGUUCAAAGCAAUGCGCUUUGAACUUGAGACAUCGGUUCCAUGGAAUUGCUCUCCAUUGGAAUACUCUGUAAUGAUUGUUGCCAAGUCUUUGUGGCUUUGUGCACAAUCAUUAUAAGAGGAACAGUGCAUAUAAGUUUAAAAUCUAAACAAAUUUCAAUAAAUGAUAGGAAUUUGGAAUUCUUACAUUUAAGACAAGGAUUUGGGAGUGUGAAAAGAGAAUCAUUGAAAUUAUGUUCAAUUCAUCUAGUUCACAAAGAAAAGGAUCAUAGACAAACAUAGAGUGCAUACUUGGUGUAUGGAAAAGCUAUUGUUUAGAAAAACAUAGUGUACAUGCUUGGAGCAUGGGACAACUAGUGUUUUUAAUUCAGGUAUAAAGUUGAUAAAACCAAAACAAUGAAUAAUGAGUAAUCAGUAUAGUGAUAAAUAGAAUGUCUUUUGUUUAUAUUCAUAGGUUUUGAUACCAUAUUAGAUUCAUUUAUUCUUGUGUUUCACUUUGCAUGUUUUGACUUCCAUAAUAACUAGGUUAUUCUUUCGGAAUGACUAAGUUAUUCAAAACAUCCACAAUCGGUCAUAUGUUGGAAGUAGAUAUGAAUCAAGACUGUCAUGGGUUGGCUUGUAGAGGUCCAAGUUGGUGGACAAAGUUAUGCUACAACACUCAUGAGCGCUCAUAAGUUCUGAGUAUUGGAUUCAACCCGCGCUCAUUUGAAUCACUUCAUGGAUUUUAUCUCGAGUGAUCAUGAGACGAUAAUAUCUUAUAUUCUUCAAACCUAGAGAUAUGAGUUUUUACUAUGAGUUGGUUGUACAUUGAUUGCACGAAACCGCAUUGGUAACUCGAUGUUAUAAAAUGUGCCUUUGUGUACGAUUCAACAAGUAGUAAAACAAGCCAUAUGAGUCGAAGUUUAUCCAUUCCUUUUACCUUUGGGAUAAAAGCGAUAUCUGUGGGCCCCUUGAUGAUUUAGUGAUGUC